ACCAGACUCCUACGGGAGGCAGCAGUCGGGAAUAUUGCGCAAUGGAGGAAACUCUGACGCAGUGACGCCGCGUGCAGGAAGAAGGUUUUCGGAUUGUAAACUGCUUUAGACAGGGAAGAAAGAAAUGACGGUACCUGUAGAAUAAGCUCCGGCUAACUACGUGCCAGCAGCCGCGGUAAUACGUAGGGGGCAAGCGUUAUCCGGAUUUACUGGGUGUAAAGGGAGCGUAGACGGCAGCGCAAGUCUGAAGUGAAAUCCCAUGGCUUAACCAUGGAACUGCUUUGGAAACUGUGCAGCUGGAGUGCAGGAGAGGUAAGCGGAAUUCCUAGUGUAGCGGUGAAAUGCGUAGAUAUUAGGAGGAACACCAGUGGCGAAGGCGGCUUACUGGACUGUAACUGACGUUGAGGCUCGAAAGCGUGGGGAGCAAACAGGAUUAGAUACCCUUGUA
rnacentral:rRNA from 1 species